UGGCCCCAGGAUAGGAAGGUUUGUCACCAGUGGGUGGCCGGGGAGGCUUAGGCUGUCUGUCAUUUUUCCGUGGGUCUGCUGGAGGGAUAGAACGAUGAGGUGGCACUGUUGGCAGAGGUCUUGUUGGUGGUGGGAUCCUGUCAGGUGGACCAUAUAUCUUCUGGAUGCCCUGUAAAUCAUCAUUAGGUAGUUUGAAGUUGUCAGUUUCCAUAUACUGAUAAAAUGGAGCCAUAAUUGCUGUGGGAUCAUUAGAGUGCUCCAAGCCCAGAGCAUGUCCCAGUUCGUGCACAGCAACUAGAAACAGAUCAUUUCCAUCAUGAUUAGGAUUUCCCAAAGUCCAUGGCUCAUCUGAGUCAAAGUGAGUGUC
rnacentral:lncRNA from 1 species